AUUGAACGCUGGCGGCAUGCUUUACACAUGCAAGUCGAACGGCAGCACGGGUGCUUGCACCUGGUGGCGAGUGGCGAACGGGUGAGUAAUGCAUCGGAACGUAUCCAAUAAUGGGGGAUAACGCACCGAAAGGUGUGCUAAUACCGCAUACGCCCUGAGGGGGAAAGUGGGGGACCGUAAGGCCUCACGUUAAUGGAGCGGCCGAUGCCUGAUUAGCUAGUUGGUGAGGUAAAGGCUCACCAAGGCGACGAUCAGUAGCUGGUCUGAGAGGACGACCAGCCACACUGGGACUGGGACACGGCCCAGACUCCUACGGGAGGCAGCAGUGGGGAAUUUUGGACAAUGGGCGCAAGCCUGAUCCAGCCAUGCCGCGUGAGUGAAGAAGGCCUUCGGGUUGUAAAGCUCUUUCGCAAGGAAAGAAAACUUAUCCCCUAAUACGGGAUGAGGAUGACGGUACCUUGAUAAGAAGCACCGGCUAACUACGUGCCAGCAGCCGCAGUAA
rnacentral:rRNA from 1 species